rnacentral:rRNA from 1 species
UUAAACGAAUUCGCCCUUAGGUUUGAUCCUGGCUCAGAACGAACGCUGGCGGCGUGGCUAAGACAUGCAAGUCGAACGGACUGUUCAAUUUAUUGUUCAGUUAGUGGCGAAAGGGUUAGUAACAGGUGGGUAACGUACCCCGUGCUCCGGGAUAGCGUCAGUAGCCUUCGGGCUACUUUCCGAAAGGGGCGGUAAUACCGGAUAAUAUCAUGAGUCGAUAGGCUUAUGAUCAAAGAUUUAUCGGCGCGGGAGCGGCCUGUCUCCUAUCAGCUUGUUGGUGAGGUAACGGCUCACCAAGGCGACGACGGGUAGCGGGACUGAGAGGUUGACCCGCAACAUCGGGACUGAGACACUGCCCGGACCUCCACGGAGGGCUGCAGUAACGAAUAUUGCGCAAUGGGCGAAAGCCUGACGCAGCGACGCCGCGUGUAGGAGGAAGUCCCUCGGGAUGUAAACUACUGUCAGGGGUGAGAAAGUGCGCUUCGGCGUAUUGAUCCUACCCAGAGGAAGUCACGGCUAACUUCGUGCCAGCAGCCGCGGUAAGACGAAGGUGGCUAGCGUUGUUCGGUAUUACUGGGCUUAAAGCGUGUGUAGGCGGAGAAGUAAGCGUUUCGUGAAAGCCCCCGGCUCAACCGGGGAAUUGCGUGACGAACUGCUUUUCUUGAGGCAAGUAGGGGUGCAUGGAACUCUUGGUGGAGCGGUGGAAUGCGUAGAUAUCAAGAGGAACGCCAGUGGAGAAAUCGGUGCACUGGGCUUGUCCUGACGCUGAGACACGAAAGCGUGGGGAGCGAACGGGAUUAGAUACCCCGGUAGUCCACGCCGUAAACGAUGUCUACUAGGUUGUGGUGGUUCUGACACCAGCACAGCCGAAGCAAAAGUGCUAAGUAGACCGCCUGGGGAGUA